UUUGAUAACUUUUGAUUUUGAACUCCAAAUUGGCCCAAAUAAAAUCCAGAAAAUUUGUAAAAUCUUGUUCUAUCAAGAUACAACUUUUGAGAGUAGUUUUCCCUCAAAAUAAAAUAUACAAAAAUACAUUUGCCCUAUAAACGCCUUUAGGGCUAUAUAUCUGUUUGAAUAAAAUACUUUUUCAACUCCAAUUAGUUAACCAAAAAUUAUGGGAUAGCUUAUAUAUGCAUUAAACCCUUUUUAUACAUCAACCCUAUUGGUUUGAAAAUCCAAAGGUUACAGGGAUGUAAACAAAAUCUCUUAAAGCCUUUUGUGAUUCAAAAUUUGAAUUCAAUCAUGCAAUUGUGGCAUGAUGCUCAUGGAUGCAAUGCACAUGUAAAGGUUUGAAAUUUUGGGAUGUUACACAGGCGCUCCCCGAAUCGCACGGGGAGACGACCAUGGACGCUCCCGAAUCACACGGAGAGACGACUCAGCGGGCCCCAUAGAAAUGGACCUAACGUCACGACAUCCGAAAACUCAAAGCAGCCCACUCAAGACGAUUCAUUGAAUUACUUGUUUUGCCAUAAACUAGGAAAAUCAUAUGGUAGUUCAAUAGUAUCACAUUUGUAAUAAUACCACCCGCGUAUAUUAUCAUAGCAUAGCAUUUUACUAGCACGAUGGCAAUUGGUGGUAAGGACAUGGCAAAGGUACCCUAUACUACUUGGAGAAUCAUAGUUAAGCAUAGAUACAAUAAUAAUCCUAACAAUGCAACUAAUAAAAACUAGUGCAUAAUAAAGUAAUAGGAUGAUGGUCAAAGUGAACUUGCCUUGAUAGUAGUUGGUAUUCAGACACUCUUCACAGUCACACGGUUCGCUCUCCGAGAAAACUAUACAAUCAGGCAAACAUACACAUACAUAAACACACCACACAAGCAAAAGAAUAUGUAUGUCAUGAUGCAAUGCAAAACAUGUGACAUGAGUUUGGUUUAUUUUAUUUGGGUGAUCUGCUGAUCCAAUGCCUUGAGAAUUAAACACAUGUAAUUAGGGUUUUUAAGCAAAAGCAAAAUCUAGGGUUUAAAACCUAAAAUGAGGUUUUAUUUGCAUCUGCAAAACAAUUUAAUUCAAAAUAUUUAUUUCUCUGCCCCAUUGGACCGAGGACACUAAAACAAAAUUUUGGGCACUGGUUCCAUUCAAAAAGGACUUCUAAAUAAUUAGUUAUGAUUUAAAUGGCAUAAAACCCUAAUCUGUAAUUUGAAUGUGAUUCAAAUAUUCAAAUUUGAAAUUGGAGAGUGCCAAAAGAUUCUACACUUCCUAAGGAUUCCAAAAAGGUGUGGAUCACUAAAUUUGGCCAAACAGAUUUAAAGUUGUGAUCAUUUGAAGUUACAGGGGCCUAUCUGCAAAAAUGCCUUUUAUUAAUCCGGGGAAAUAAAAUUACAUUUUUAUUUUAUAACUCGGGUGCCACGUGGCGCAUUCCUAUUCAUUGGUACCGGUUCGGUUUAAAUGAAUAAGGACGAUCUAAUCUACACCGUUGGAGAUGGAUGGACGGACGAGAUGAUCGGGGGAAGCUCACCAGCGGGUUAGGGUUCCGGCGACGGAAACCGGCGGCGGCGCGGCCCGGGCGGGGCGGCGCGGGGGUGCUCCGGCGUCGGGGCGUGACGGGGAAGUGACGGGCGAUGACGGCGCGGCACGGCGGAGACGGGGCCGCGGUCGGCGGGGGCUCGGGCGGCGCGGGGCGGCGCCUAGGACGGGACGAGCGGGCGGCGCAGUCGGCGGACGGCGGCGCGGGCACAGGCACGGCGGCGCGGGGACGAUCCGGCGACGUGGGCGCGACAGGGAAGACACGGGGAGGCGCGGCGCGGCACGGCGGAGACGGGGCGCGGUCGGGGACGGUCGGGGACGGCGCCGAGGACGAAGACGGGCGGGCGGCGCGGUCGGGCUCCGGUGAGAAAUCGGGGCAGCCUGGCGGCGCGAUUGGAUGGGGAAACAAGGGGGAAAGAGAGAGGAGGUCACUAACUGUAGCGUUUCGCUAACUGUGCACUGGUGUAUGUAGUCUUCACUGGUAUGAAGUGGGCAACCUUGGUCAAACGGUCAACCACUACCCAAAUGGAAUCAUAUCCUGAUCUAGUCCUUGGUAGCCCGGUGAUAAAGUCCAUGCCGACUUUAUCCCAUUUCCAGUCCGGUAUAGGCAAUGGUCUCAGUAACCCGGCUGGCUUCUGGUGUUCUGCCUUAACUCUACUGCACACAUCGCACAAGGCAAUGAACUCUGCGAUGUCACGCUUCAAUCCGGACCACCAAAAUGUUUCCUUGAGGUCCAUGUACAUCUUUAUGUUUCCAAGGUGGAUUGAGUAUGGUGAAUCGUGGGCUUCUUGCAAAAUCAACUUUCUGAUUUUCGGAUCUUGCGGUACGCAAAUGCGUUUUCCGAACCAUAUGGUUCCCUGAUCGUCUUCUCGAAAAUCUUUGGCCUUUCCACUAAUCAUAUUCCCUCUUAUUUCCUUUAUUUCCGAAUCAUCUUUUUGUGCUUCUCUAAUCUUAUCUAGCAGUGUGGGUUGCACUUCCAAAGUGGCUAAGUAACCUUCCGGUACUAUUUCCAGUCUGAGGUCUUUGAACUGUUCGCACAACUCUGGUGGUAACUCUCCAGCUGUUAGUCCAUUUACAUAGCCCUUGCGGCUCAAUGCAUCAGCUACGACGUUAGCCUUGCCUGGAUGGUAUUGUAAAUUCAGGUCAAAAUCUUUUAUCAGUUCUAACCAUCUUCUCUGCCUCAGAUUCAACUCCUUCUGAGUGAAUAUGUACUUCAGACUCUUAUGGUCAGUAAACAGCUCACAGUGCUUUCCCGUCAGAUAGUGCCUCCAGGUCUUCAAGGCGUGCACUACUGAUGCUAACUCCAAGUCAUGAGUGGGAUAGUUGCCUUCGUGACUCUUUUGUUGUCGCGAAGCGUACGCUACAACUUUCCCAUUCUGCAUCAAUACUCCUCCCAAACCUUGACGCGAGGCAUCACAGUAAACUUGAAAAUCCUCUUGUAGGUCAGGUAAAACAAGGAUGGGCGCAGACACUAGUCUUUUCUUCAAUUCCUGGAAGCUCUCUUCACAAAACUCAUUCCAGGCAAACUUCUUCUCUUUCUUUAAAAGCUCUGUCAUGGGUUUCGCUAUUUUGGAGAAAUUCUCAAUGAAUCUCCGAUAAUAACCGGCAAGUCCAAGGAAGCUGCGGACUUCUCCGACAUUCUUCGGUGCCUCCCAUUCUGUAACUGCUGCAACCUUAGCUAGGUCAACGGCUACUCCGGCUCCUGACACUAUGUGUCCCAGAAAGCUGACUUUUGAUAACCAAAAUUCACACUUGCUGAAUUUGGCGUACAGCUGGUGCGCUCUCAACUUUUCCAAAAUCAUGCGUAGGUGCUGCUCAUGUUCCUUUUUGCUCUUGGAAUAGAUCAGUAUGUCAUCGAUGAAUACUACGACGAACUUGUCCAAGAAUUCCAUGAACACCUUGUUCAUCAUGUUCAUGAAGUAUGCAGGUGCAUUGGUCAAACCAAAAGGCAUCACGGUGUACUCGUACAGUCCAUACCUAGUGGUGAAUGCCGUCUUGGGUAUAUCCAUCUUCCGAAUUUUCAGCUGAAAAUACCCUGAUCGCAGAUCGAUCUUUGAGAACACUUGAGCUCCCUUCAACUGGUCGAAUAGGUCAUUGAUUAUGGGUAAAGGAUACUUAUUCUUUAUCGUCACCUCGUUGAGUGAACGAUAGUCAAUGCACAUCCGUCGGCUCUUGUCCUUCUUUUCUACAAACAGGACAGGUGCUCCCCAUAGUGAUGUACUGGGGCGGAUGAACCCUUUCGCUAACUGUUCAGCUAGCUGCUUCUUCAAUUCUUUCAACUCGUCCACAGCCAUCUUAUAUGGUCUCUAGGCUAUGGGUCCACUUCCUGGCAUUAACUCUAUAAGGAACUCCACAUCACGGUCCGGUGGCAUGCCUGGUAAUUCCUCUGGAAACACGUCUGGGUAUUCCUUCACUAUUGGUACAUCGUCCAUGCUAACCCCCUUAAGAGCAUUAACCUUAGGUUUCUUAAGCUCGUGGGUUGACUUGUACCGGAUGCGUCUCUUGUCUGGGGUAGUGAGUGUGACAGUCCUCUGGGCACAAUCUACUAAUCCUUCAUAUAAGGUCAACCAGUCCAUUCCCAAGAUUAGGUCCAGUCCUCGGGAAUCUAUAACUAUGAGAUCAGAGGGAAAAAUAUGUCUCCCAAUACUUAGGGGUAGCUGGCGACAGUGUCGGGUUGCUAGUAUUGUUCCACCCUGUGAGUUCACUUUCAUGGGUCUAGCCAUGGUCUUAGAGGGUAAUUUGCCUCUUUCUACUAAUACUCUUGAAAUGAAUGAAUGCGAUGCUCCAGUGUCAAAUAGAACUAGUACUUCAUAAGCAUUAAUGUGGAAGGUGCCAAGUAUGAUACCUGGUUCCUCGGUGAUCUCUUUCACAUCCACGUGAUUCACGUGGCCCUUCUGGAAUGGAUUGGGCUUGUUCCUAGUGCCAUCCUAGUUGUCCGGGCAGUUGGUGGCAUAGUGUCCCAUCUUGUGACACUUGUAGCACUCCACCUUGCUCAUGUCCUUAUUGGCAUUGUGGUUCUGACCAUUGUUGUUCUGGCCAUUGCCGUUGUUCCUGCCGUUCCCGUUUCCAUUGAUGGGCCUUGGGCGAGCGAACUGGUGCUGUUGCUGAUGCUGGUGCUGCUGAUGAUGCCGGUUCACAUUGCUACCCUGAUGGUGGUGUCCUUGGCUCCCCUGGCGGUGGUGGUGGCUAUUACCUCCACUGCGGUGGUUGCCCUGGUUCCCGUUCCUGCUCAAAGAGGAACUGCCACUUCCAUCAUAGGAGGUGCGCUGCUUAUGGUGCGGGCCAGUGUGAGAGCCUCCUUGGUGAAAUCUCUUCUUGCGGUUUUCCAACUGAGUGAGCUUACUCUCCAGAAUGAUGGCCUUGUCAAUCAAAGACUGGUAGGUGGGAGUGUAAGCAAUAGCAAGUUGAACUGACAGCUCGUCGUUCAGACCGUCCAAAAACUUCUCCCUGCGCUUGGCAUCGGUGUUCACGUCAUCCGGUGCAUAGCGGGACAGCUGGUUGAAUACUUCUAUGUAUUCCGACACUGAGCGGCUUCCUUGUCAUAGCCUGUGAAACUCUUUCUUUUUCAGGCUGAGCACUCCCGCAGAGAUGUGGGCGGUACGGAAGGCUUCCUGGAACAUGUCCCAGGUGACAUCCUCGAUGGGGGUGGUGAUCUGAAAGUUUUCCCACCAUGAUGCUGUGGGUCCUUCUAACAAAUGAGCUGCAAAACGCACUUUCUCUUUGUCAGUGCAGUUGAUGGUGACCAAGUUCUUGUUGACUGAACGAAGCCAAUCGUCAGCCAUAAUAGGCUCAGUGGAGCUGGAAAAAGUGGGCGGGCACAAACGUAGAAAUCUUGUCAACAUGUCCACUUGCGGUGGGUGGUGUUGCUGGUUGUUGUUGGGGUUCUGCUGGUGGUUGGCAUUGUUGUUGGCUAACUGCUGUGUAAUCAUCUGAAAGAAUUGGGUCUGGGCGGCCAAUAACUGUUGCAUGGUGGCAGCAUUCCCUUCUGCGUCGGCAUUGUUAGCCUCGGCGUUGUUGGCGGGGUUCCGGCGUCUCGGAGGCAUCUGUUUAGGGUAGCAUAGAUGAGGAAACAGAUAGAAUAGAGCUAAGGAUAACUAAACCCUCAAAACAAGGUAGUAACUCAAGCAUAUAUCAAUCAUACACUCAUCAAUCAUAAAAGUUUUGGAAAACAUAGCACAACCCACUUGUUUAUGGUGGGGCAUUGCCCAUAAGGAAAAGAGUACGAAGAAAAGCAAUCGACCUACAUUGCCAUACACAUAGAUUGUAUGGUCAAUGACUAACUCGCAAUGGUGAUAACGAUAAAAACUAAUAGAUGGGGAAACAAGGGGGAAAGAGAGAGGAGGUCGCGGGGGUCAUAAAGGCGUGCUCAGGCAUGAAAAUGGAAGGCCGGAGGACGAGAUUGCGGCGGCGGGCGCGCGGGGACGGCGGCCGAAAAUCGCGCGCGUGACCGGCGGCGCUUUCCUUCGGGGAAGACGCAGCUGACAGGUGGACCCCACCAGUCAGCGACUGCGGGCGCGUGCGCGCGGACCGGUCGGGCGCGGUCGGACUGGGCCGGUCCGGUUUACCCAUUUUUUUUUUCUUUUAGGCCUUUUCUUUUUCUGUUUUUCUCAUUUCUUUGAUAUCUUUUGUGUUUGAACUCCAAAUUGGUCCACAUAAAUUCCAGAAAUUUUUUAAAAUCAUGUUCUACCAUGAUACAACUUUUGGAAGUAGUUUCUCUUCAAAAUAAAAUAUAUAAAAAUACAUUUGCCCUAUAAAUGACUUUAGGGCUAUAUAUCUGUUUGAAUAAAAUACUUUUUCAACUCCAAUUAGUUAACCAAAAAUUAUGGGAUAGCUUAUAUAUGCAUUAAACCCUUUUUAUACAUCAACCCUAUUGGUUUGAAAAUCCAAAGGUUACAGGGAUGUAAACAAAAAUCUCUUAAAGCCUUUUGUGAUUCAAAAUUUGAAUUCAAACAUGCAAUUGUGGCAUGAUGCUCAUGGAUGCAAUACACAUGUAAAGGUUUGAAAUUUUGGGAUGUUACAGCCGCCGGCAGCAACCGCCGCCGAUGAUGCUACCACCACGCUCACGAGGCAACCCUCGCCCUCAGGGGCGGACCCUGGCCUUCAGGGAGGAACCCUGGCUUAGGAGGACUCCGCUCCGGGAGCAGACG
rnacentral:lncRNA from 1 species